UAUAAAACUAAUUAGUUAUCUGUUAAAUAAGUAGAUAAAUAAUAAAUAACUACAUAAAAACAAAAGCUAACAUUAAUUCAUUGAGUUAUUAUGGAACACAAUUUAACUAAAAGCAUAGAAAUUACAAUCCAAACAAGGAACCAAGUGAAUGUGGUAAAACCACUCCGAGAUCCUACGGGCAUAAAUAUGUUUGAAGCCAUUCAAAUAGAAAAAAGACGGCCAUUACACAAUAUUAUUAACGAUAAUGAUCCGACCGUGCUACCUAUGUCAUGGAAGUGGUGUGCUCGCCAUGGUGUGAGGACCGUAGUGAAGGAUGCUGCAAUUAACAUAUAUG
rnacentral:lncRNA from 1 species